CCAGACUCUCACUUGAUACCAAGUAAAGAAGAUCGUGACAGACCAGACUCUCACUCAGUCCCCAGUACAGAACGAGCUGCUGAAAAGGUUUAUGAGGAUGGACCCGUCAUUUUUGCAAUCCGCUGUGUGCCCUUCAUCACGUUACUGCUGGCCGUGUGCUUUCUUAGCAGAGGUGGCCCAAAAAUAAGGAACAACCGGCCAAGAGCAGGAAUAUCCAAAGAAGAAGAGCAAGCUUUAGUCAUAGAGGAGGAAAAUGAUGAAAAAGGACAAGAAGAGGGAGAAGAAAAAGCAGGACAAAGGAGAAAAGUGAGAAAAAAGGAUAAAGAUUUGAAACAAGAAGGAAAGUUGGAGUUGGUGAAUGAAUUAAGGGGAACAGAAAGAGAAGUGAAAGAGAUUAAUCAGGAAACUGAGGAAGAAAAAGAAGUCAAACUGAGAAAUGAACAAAUGGGACGAAGAAAGGAAGUGGAAAAGAAGGAAGAACAGAUGGGACAAGAAAGGGGAGUGGACCAACAAAUGGGACAAAAGGGAAAUGUGGAAAAGUGGAAGGAACAAACAGAACAAGAAAGGGAAGUGGAAAGAAAUGAUGAACAAACGGGGCAAAGAAUAGAAAUAAAAGAGAGGGAUGAACCAACAAAGCAAAAAACAGAAGAGGAAAAGAGGGAUGAAAAAACAGGACAAGAAGGAAAGUUGGACAUGGUGAAUGUAUUAACAAAAAAAGAAGUGGAAAAGAUGGAUAAACAAACAGAACAAAAACAAGAAGUGGAAAAGAAUGAUGAACAAAUGGGACAAGAAAUAAAAAUAAAAGAAACAGAAGUGAGAAAGAGCGAUGAACAAACAGGACAAGAAGGAAAGUUGGACGUGGUGAAUGUAUUAAUAAAAAAAGAAAGAAAAGUGGAAGAAAGAGAUGAUGAACAAAUGGCACAACAAAAAGAGGUGGAAAAGAUCAAUAAACAAACAGAACAAGAAAAAGAAGUG